rnacentral:rRNA from 1 species
UACGACGGGGGCUAGCGUUGUUCGGAAUCACUGGGCUGAAAGCGCACGCAGGCGGAUUGAUAAGUCAGGGGUGAAAUCCCGGGGCUCAACCUCGGAAUUGCCUUUGAUACUGUCUGUCUUGAGUCCGGGAGAGGUGAGUGGAAUUCCUAGUGUAGAGGUGAAAUUCGUAGAUAUUAGGAAGAACACCAGUGGCGAAGGCGGCUCACUGGCCCGGUACUGACGCUCAUGUGCGAAAGCGUGGGGAGCAAACAGG